rnacentral:rRNA from 1 species
AUAUUGCACAAUGGGGGAAACCCUGAUGCAGCGACGCCGCGUGAAGGAAGAAGUAUUUCGGUAUGUAAACUUCUAUCAGCAAGGAAGAUAAUGACGGUACUUGACUAAGAAGCCCCGGCUAACUACGUGCCAGCAGCCGCGGUAAUACGUAGGGGGCAAGCGUUAUCCGGAUUUACUGGGUGUAAAGGGAGCGUAGGUGGCAUGGCAAGUCAGAUGUGAAAGCCCGGGGCUCAACCUCGGGACUGCAUUUGAAACUGCCAGUCUAGAGUGCAGGAGAGGUGAGUGGAGUUCCUAGUGUAGCGGUGAAAUGCGUAGAUAUUAGGAGGGACACCAGUGGCGAAGGCGGCUUA